UACGGGAGGCAGCAGUGGGGAAUAUUGCACAAUGGGGGAAACCCUGAUGCAGCGACGCCGCGUGAACGAAGAAGGUAUUCGUAUCGUAAAGUUCUGUCCUAUGGGAAGAUAAUGACAGUACCAUAGAAGAAAGCUCCGGCUAAAUACGUGCCAGCAGCCGCGGUAAU
rnacentral:rRNA from 1 species